rnacentral:rRNA from 1 species
GACGUAGGGUGCAAGCGUUGUCCGGAUUUACUGGGCGUAAAGAGCGCGUAGGCGGUCUUGUAAGUGUGAAGUGAAAUCUCCAGGGCUCAACCCGGAAACUGCUUUGCAUACUGCGAGACUUGAGGGAUGCAGAGGUUUGUGGAAUUCCUGGUGUAGCGGUGAAAUGCGUUGAUAUCAGGAGGAACACCGACGGCGCAGGCAGCGUCCUGGCCGCUUGCUGACACUGAGGCACGAAAGCUGGGGGAGCAAACAGG